rnacentral:rRNA from 1 species
GCUGGACACCUGGUACUUGCUCCCUGAUGUUAGCGGCGGACGGGUGAGUAACACGUGGGUAACCUGCCUGUAAGACUGGGAUAACUCCGGGAAACCGGGGCUAAUACCGGAUGGUUGUUUGAACCGCAUGGUUCAGACAUAAAAGGUGGCUUCGGCUACCACUUACAGAUGGACCCGCGGCGCAUUAGCUAGUUGGUGAGGUAACGGCUCACCAAGGCGACGAUGCGUAGCCGACCUGAGAGGGUGAUCGGCCACACUGGGACUGAGACACGGCCCAGACUCCUACGGGAGGCAGCAGUAGGGAAUCUUCCGCAAUGGACGAAAGUCUGACGGAGCAACGCCGCGUGAGUGAUGAAGGUUUUCGGAUCGUAAAGCUCUGUUGUUAGGGAAGAACAAGUGCCGUUCAAAUAGGGCGGCACCUUGACGGUACCUAACCAGAAAGCCACGGCUAACUACGUGCCAGCAGCCGCGGUAAUACGUAGGUGGCAAGCGUUGUCCGGAAUUAUUGGGCGUAAAGGGCUCGCAGGCGGUUUCUUAAGUCUGAUGUGAAAGCCCCCGGCUCAACCGGGGAGGGUCAUUGGAAACUGGGGAACUUGAGUGCAGAAGAGGAGAGUGGAAUUUCACGUGUAGCGGUGAAAUGCGUAGAGAUGUGGAGGAACACCAGUGGCGAAGGCGACUCUCUGG